rfam:Bacteroidetes bacterium GWE2_42_42 gwe2_scaffold_226, whole genome shotgun sequence.
AUCGUGGAAGCCGAAAAACGAUUUUUAACAGAGUAGGCC